rnacentral:misc_RNA from 1 species
CCAAUAGCGUAUAUUAAAGUUGUUGCAGUUAAAAAGCUCGUAGUUGAAUUUCAGGCCUGGCUGGACGGUCCGCCCUUCGGGUGAGUACUGUCUGUGGUCGGGUCCUACCUUCUGGCGAAGCGUCAUGGCCUUAACCGGCCGUGGCGGGGAACCAGGACUUUUACUGUGAAAAAAUUAGAGUGUUCAAAGCAGGCAAAUCCCUUGGAUACAUUAGCAGGGAAUAAUGGAAUAGGAAAAUGGGUCUAUUUGUUGGUUUCUAGGACCGUUGUAAUGAUUAAUAGGGAUAGUUGGGGGAAUUAGUAUUCAAUUGUCAGAGGUGAAAUUCUUGGAUUUAUUGAAGACUAACUACUGCGAAAGCAUUUGCCAAGGAUGUUUUCAUUAAUCAAGAACGAAAGUUAGGGGAUCGAAGACGAUCAGAUACCGUCGUAGUCUUAACCAUAAACUAUGCCGACUAGGAAUCGGGCGAUGUUGAAAAAAUGACGCGCUCGGCACCUCAUG